rnacentral:rRNA from 1 species
UCCUACGGGGGGCAGCAGUGAGGAAUAUUGGUCAAUGGUCGGGAGAUUGAACCAGCCAAGCCGCGUGAGGGAGGAAGGUACAGAGUAUCGUAAACCUCUUUUGUCAGGGAACAAAGGCGGGGACGUGUCCCCGGAUGAGUGUACCUGAAGAAAAAGCAUCGGCUAACUCCGUGCCAGCAGCCGCGGUGAUACGGAGGAUGCGAGCGUUAUCCGGAUUUAUUGGGUUUAAAGGGUGCGUAGGCGGAAUGCCAAGUCAGCGGUAAGAUCGCGGGGCUCAAC